rnacentral:rRNA from 1 species
AGCGAACGCUGGCGGCAGGCCUAACACAUGCAAGUCGAGCGCCGUAGCAAUACGGAGCGGCAGACGGGAGAGUAACACGAGGGAACGUACCCUUUGGUUCGGAACAACCCAGGGGAACUUGGGCUAAUACCGGAUAAGCACUCACGGGGAAAGAUUCAUAGCCGAAGGAUCGGCCCGCGUCUGAUUAGCUAGUUGGUGGGGUAAUGGCCCACCAAGGCGACGAUCAGUAGCUGGUCUGAGAGGAUGAUCAGCCUCACUGGGACUGAGACACGGCCCAGACUCCUACGGGAGGCAGCAGUGGGGAAUAUUGGACAAUGGGCGCAAGCCUGAUCCAGCCAUGCCGCGUGGGUGAUGAAGGCCCUAGGGUUGUAAAGCCCUUUCGGCGGGGAAGAUAAUGACGGUACCCGCAGAAGAAGCCCCGGCUAACUUCGUGCCAGCCGCCGCCGUAACAC